UGGGGAAUUUUGGACAAUGGGCGCAAGCCUGAUCCAGCAAUGCCGCGUGCAGGAUGAAGGCCUUCGGGUUGUAAACCGCUUUUGUCAGGGAAGAAACGAGUUUCUCUAAUACAGAGACUUAAUGACGGUACCCGAAGAAUAAGCACCGGCUAACUACGUGCCAGCAGCCGCGGUAAUACGUAGGGUGCGAGCGUUAAUCGGAAUUACUGGGCGUAAAGCGUGCGCAGGCGGUUAUAUAAGACAGAUGUGAAAUCCCCGGGCUCAACCUGGGAACUGCAUUUGUGACUGUAUAGCUAGAGUACGGCAGAGGGGGAUGGAAUUCCGCGUGUAGCAGUGAAAUGCGUAGAUAUGCGGAGGAACACCGAUGGCGAAGGCAAUCCCCUGGGCCUGUACUGACGCUCAUGCACGAAAGCGUGGGGAGCAAACA
rnacentral:rRNA from 1 species